rnacentral:rRNA from 1 species
GACAGAGGAUGCAAGCGUUAUCCGGAUUUAUUGGGCGUAAAGAGCGUGUAGGCGGCCAAGCAGGUCCGCUGUGAAAACUCGAGGCUCAACCUCGAGACGUCGGUGGAAACCGUUUGGCUAGAGUCCGGAAGAGGAGAGUGGAAUUCCCGGUGUAGCGGUGAAAUGCGCAGAUAUCGGGAAGAACACCCGUGGCGAAGGCGGCUCUCUGGGACGGUACUGACGCUGAGACGCGAAAGCGUGGGGAGCGAACAGG